rnacentral:rRNA from 1 species
AAGAGUGGCGAACGGGUGAGUAACACGUGGGUAACCUGCCCAUCAGAAGGGGAUAACACUUGGAAACAGGUGCUAAUACCGUAUAACACUAUUUUCCGCAUGGAAGAAAGUUGAAAGGCGCUUUUGCGUCACUGAUGGAUGGACCCGCGGUGCAUUAGCUAGUUGGUGAGGUAACGGCUCACCAAGGCAACGAUGCAUAGCCGACCUGAGAGGGUGAUCGGCCACACUGGGACUGAGACACGGCCCAGACUCCUACGGGAGGCAGCAGUAGGGAAUCUUCGGCAAUGGACGAAAGUCUGACCGAGCAACGCCGCGUGAGUGAAGAAGGUUUUCGGAUCGUAAAACUCUGUUGUUAGAGAAGAACAAGGAUGA